CAGCCGCCGCGGUAAUACGAAGGGUGCAAGCGUUAAUCGGAAUUACUGGGCGUAAAGCGUGCGUAGGCGGUUUGUUAAGUCUGCUGUGAAAUCCCCGGGCUCAACCUGGGAAUGGCAGUGGAUACUGGCAAGCUAGAGUGUGUCAGAGGAUGGUGGAAUUCCCGGUGUAGCGGUGAAAUGCGUAGAGAUCGGGAGGAACAUCAGUGGCGAAGGCGGCCAUCUGGGACAACACUGACGCUGAGGCACGAAAGCGUGGGGAGCAAACAGGAUUAGAUACCCCAGUAGUCCCUGUCUCUUAUAA
rnacentral:rRNA from 1 species